GGGGGCGUAGCUCAGUCGGUAGAGCAACGGUUUUUUAAGCCGUGGGUCGGCAGUUCGAGUCUGCCCGCCCUCA
rnacentral:tRNA from 1 species